CUUAAAAGAAAGUGGUGAUCUUAACUGACCUAAGACAGGGAAUUUUUACUAGGAGUAAAUGUCAGGAAUUGUGAAAAACUGAGUUUAUAUGUAUUUGGCUAAGGUGUAUGUAAACCUCCGACUUCAACUCUACACAUAUCAUGGCUAAUAUCUUGAUUUGAGAUGAUAGUCCGUGUGAGGCGCAUUUUGUGAGAGGGUUCGUGGAGGUGCUAGAGGGAAACUGGUUCGCUUCUGCCCUUGAAAUGUAAAGAUUCACUUUUGUGUUAUGCUCCAAUGUACCAAUGUAUGUUUAGAAAUAGGACCAGCUACUUAUGUGACUCACUCUAUAUACUUCUCCCCUGUUUGUCUCCUGGUGUCGAGCGAUAGCCCUGAGAUUAGCCCCAGCAUGCUAACAACUAUAACAGGUCAGUGAAUGGCAGGGAGCCACUGAGCACAGCUAACCCUCCUGGAAAAAACGAAGUAGACGGAGAGGCAGGAGUGAUGGAGCUCGUCCACAGAGAAGGGAAGUUCUUCAUCAGAGGAAAGAUAAAUGCCUUUUUUCCUCCAAGCCCAAGCAACAUUUUUUGACAUGGGCCUGGGUUCUCUAUCAGUGAUGCCCAGAGAAAGCCUUGCAUUUGAGAAUCAGAUGCAGAAGAGCAAGGUUUUCAGAGCCUGUGGCUAUCCUCCAUACGAUUCAACCACCUCUCAACCUCGCUCUGCUGCCGCAACUCAAUGGAGCUGCCCGUGUCAUAGCAUAUUGAGUCAAUAUCAUAUUUGCAAAGUAGAUGGAUCGAUGAAAACCUGCUUUGAUUUAGAAGAUAGGCAAAUCUUCUGGGCAUUUGAAAUAGAGACACGACAAUUCAGUAAAUAAAAUAUUCACAUCAAUAUGUAUUGAUCGCUACAAUUAGCGUUGCUAGCCUACAGCCGUGCAAUAACAUGUGCACAUUGCCCUAAUUGCCUUAUAUAACCUUUUACGGCACAUACCUGUAUGCUUUGUUAUAAUUGUACAUAGGAAGAAGAGUAGGCCAAGGAUUUGUGAUUUUACACAGCAGCAUUUCCACACCCGACCACUCUCGCUUAUGUUUAUGGAUAAGCUCCAGGAUGGAAGAGGUAAUCCUCUCAUUUACAGUGCCUCAGAUUCAGUCCACCCUAUCUCCUCCUCCCCUCCUCCCCUCCAUCCCUCCACCCCCCAAACCCAAUUCAGCCCUACUCCACAUCGUCAUGGCAUGUUAGACAGAGAAGAUGGAACAAAUCAGUGGCUGGCGGUGGGUGUGGAGAGCUGCGGAUGCAUAUCAGUGGCUGGCGGUGGGUGU
rnacentral:lncRNA from 1 species